rnacentral:rRNA from 1 species
UGGGGAAUCUUGCACAAUGGGGGCAACCCUGAUGCAGCGACGCCGCGUGAGCGAUGAAGCCCCUCGGGGCGUAAAGCUCUUUCGACCGGAACGAUAAUGACGGUACCGGGAGAAGAAGCUGCGGCUAACUACGUGCCAGCAGCCGCGGUAAUACGUAGGCAGCAAGCGUUGUUCGGAGUUACUGGGCGUAAAGAGUGCGUAGGCGGUUUUCUAAGUUCGGUGUGAAAUCUCCCGGCUUAACUGGGAGGGUGCGCCGAAGACUGGGAAGCUGGAGUGUGGGAAAGGCAGGCGGAAUUCCUGGUGGAGCGGUGAAAUGCGUAGAUAUCAGGAGGAACACCGGCGGUGUAGACGGCUUGCUAGACCAUAAUUGACGCUGAGGCACGAAAGCGUGGGUAGCAAACA